GUGGGGAAUUUUGGACAAUGGGCGCAAGCCUGAUCCAGCCAUUCCGCGUGCAGGAUGAAGGCCUUCGGGUUGUAAACUGCUUUUGUACGGAACGAAACGGUUCUCUCUAAUACAGGGGGCUAAUGACGGUACCGUAAGAAUAAGCACCGGCUAACUACGUGCCAGCAGCCGCGGUAAUACGUAGGGUGCAAGCGUUAAUCGGAAUUACUGGGCGUAAAGCGUGCGCAGGCGGUUUUGUAAGACAGAGGUGAAAUCCCCGGGCUCAACCUGGGAACUGCCUUUGUGACUGCAAGGCUGGAGUACGGCAGAGGGGGAUGGAAUUCCGCGUGUAGCAGUGAAAUGCGUAGAUAUGCGGAGGAACACCGAUGGCGAAGGCAAUCCCCUGGGCCUGUACUGACGCUCAUGCACGAAAGCGUGGGGAGCAAACAGGAUUAGAAACCCCAGUAGUCC
rnacentral:rRNA from 1 species